AAAAAAUUGACUUUCUACCUUCUAUUUUACCAAACACGCCCCUAAUUUCUUCAUUUCUCUCCUCGGAUCUCCUUCAUCUUCGUCGAUUUCCCCUGUAUUUAACUGAGUACUUUCACUCUAACUGGAAUGGAUUUUUAAUCUCAAUUUCUGUUCCGGAAGUAAGAAUUUUGUUUAGAAAUCAUGUCAGGACAAAAUGAACCGAGGAUCCGACCCAGCGGUAGAGCAGCGGUAGUCGUUCUCGGUGAUAUUGGACGUAGCCCUCGUAUGCAAUAUCAUGCUCUUUCCCUUGCUCGUCAGGCUCAUCUAGAGGUUGACAUUGUUGCAUAUGGAGGUUCGGACCCUCAUUCUGCUGUAAAAGAGCAUAAAUCUAUUCACAUCAAUGAAAUGACACAGUGGCCAUCAAACCCCAGAAGUUUUCCAAAGAUACUCCAUCCUUUAUUGCUCAUACUUAAGCCACUGGUCCAGUUUUUUAUGCUCCUAUGGUAUCUCUGUGUUAAAAUUCCUAAGCCGGAUGUUUUCAUAGUUCAGAAUCCACCAUCUGUUCCUACACUGGUUGCUGUAAAAUUGGCCAGUUGGAUUAGACGUUCUGCGUUCAUUAUAGAUUGGCAUAACUUUGGAUAUACUCUUCUAGCAUUGUCUCUCGGGAGGAAUAGUCGGUUUGUGGCUUUAUAUCAUUGGAUUGAGAAGCAUUUUGGGAAAAUGGCUAAUGGUUCCUUAUGUGUGACAAAGGCAAUGCAACAUGAAUUGUCUCAAAACUGGGGAAUCAGUGCCACUGUUCUAUAUGAUCAACCUCCUGAUUUUUUUCAACCUGCUUCCCUGGAGGAGAAGCACAAGUUGUUUUGUGGGAUUGAUAAGAGUCUGAGAACACCUUACAGCCUUCAAGACUGUCUUAGCAAUGAGGAACUAACACCAGACGAUGACAACCCUAAUGUAACUCUAUUUACAACUCAGACUGGCACAGAUAUUUCCUUGAAGUGGAACAGACCAGCGCUCAUUGUAAGCAGUACAAGCUGGACUCCGGAUGAAGAUUUUAGCAUUCUCUUAGAAGCAGCACUAAUGUAUGAUAGAAGGGUUUCUGCAUUGCUGAACGAGGAUGACUUGAAGAGGGAGGAUGUUUUCUGGCAGGAAAUCAAGGGUGGGAAGCAAUACCCUAGAUUAUUAUUUAUAAUUACAGGUAAAGGGCCUGAAAAGGAAAAAUAUGAACAAAAGAUGGCAAAACUCAACCUUAAACGUGUAGCAUUUCGUACUAUGUGGUUAGAGCCAGAGGAUUACCCAUUGCUUCUUGGAUCAGCAGAUCUUGGUGUUUGCUUGCAUACGUCCUCUUCAGGGUUGGAUCUUCCAAUGAAGGUUUCAUUCUUGUAUAUUCCUUUUAGGUUGUGGAUAUGUUUGGCUGUGGAUUACCAGUCUGUGCUGUUUCCUACUCUUGUAUCAACGAGCUGGUCGAAGUUGACAAGAAUGGCCUACUCUUCUCUUCAUCCUCGGAACUGGCUGAUCAAUUUGUGACGCUGUUUAAGGGAUUCCCAGGUGAAUGUGAUGAGUUGAAGUCGCUGAGACAGGGAGUAUUGGCAAGCAGAUCUUCUGUUAAUUGGGCAACAGAGUGGGAAGCAAACGCCAAACCCCUAAUAUCCAAGGUUAUUUUUGACAACUCGAGCUGAUUUUGAAGCAAAGAUUUCAAGAACUCUGGUGUCAACUACCCUACAGAUCAGACGAAUUUCGGGAAUUAUAUGCUCAUCUAGUGUCACACUGCAAGCCGAAGGUCCCUGCUACUCUCCCCGGCCCCUUUCCAGGCUCCACAGAGAAACCAAUUUUUGCGGCUCUAUUAGGAUCAUUAGUCGGUCAGUAGUCACAGAUUUCUGUUUUGGGUUUUGUGAGAACUGAAGUUGUACAGCUUUAGAAGUGGCCAUAGCACUAUUGAGGUUUCACUUGCCUUUUACCUCUCAUAGUAGUUUAACAAAGUUAUAUACAUCGUGGGGUUGCUUUACGACGUUCCCAGAAUACAUUUUGUGUGUUAUUUGAACCAAAAAAAGUGUGAAAAAUAACAGAUUUUGAACACUAACUCAAGUCUUUGUAUAUCUAGCAACCUUAGUCUUGUUGUUA